UGGGGAAUUUUGGACAAUGGGCGAAAGCCUGAUCCAGCAAUGCCGCGUGUGUGAAGAAGGCCUUCGGGUUGUAAAGCACUUUUGUCCGGAAAGAAAUGGCUCUGGUUAAUACCUGGGGUCGAUGACGGUACCGGAAGAAUAAGGACCGGCUAACUACGUGCCAGCAGCCGCGGUAAUACGUAGGGUCCAAGCGUUAAUCGGAAUUACUGGGCGUAAAGCGUGCGCAGGCGGUUGUGCAAGACCGAUGUGAAAUCCCCGAGCUUAACUUGGGAAUUGCAUUGGUGACUGCACGGCUAGAGUGUGUCAGAGGGGGGUAGAAUUCCACGUGUAGCAGUGAAAUGCGUAGAGAUGUGGAGGAAUACCGAUGGCGAAGGCAGCCCCCUGGGAUAACACUGACGCUCAUGCACGAAAGCGUGGGGAGCAAACA
rnacentral:rRNA from 2 species